rnacentral:tRNA from 1 species
CAGAUUAUAAUUUAUAAUAAAAUACUGGCUUUGGACGCCAAAAAACGAUCACUCGUAAUCUGA